CCUUUGCAAUUUCUAGAUUAUGGAACUAAAAACAAGAAGUCACAGGUUUAUUGAAUGAAAGUAAUGUCAGUUUUAAUUGUUUUCCUAAUGUUUUCCUAACUUUUCCUAACAUGGCAAAUGCUCAAGAUUCCCGAGAUGACUCAGUCCUUCAAGUUAUGGAGCACAUGAGGCAGGAAAAGUAUAAAGAUUCAGCUUCUUCCUAGGGUAGAAAUGAGAAGCUUUUAAGUUUUCAUCUAUAAGCCUGAAGCUUAAAGAGAUCUUAUCUCUCUCAAUUUCAGACGGAGACUUGAGAGCACUCAGCCCUUUCCAGGAUGGAGCUUUAGAGAGCAGUCAGUAAGAAGUAGCAUGCUGUCUCCUGUAUAGCUUUGCCUGCACCUACACGGCAUUCAUGAUGAGGAAAUGUGGAGGUAAACGCACCUAAGCCAACACAUGAAGGAUAUUCAUUUCAUGAACACUAUGUUCAGGUCAGUAUGUAAGACUGUGGGGUUUGAGUGGAAAACACUGUAUUAAUCCCAGGUAACUUUCAGAAUCUAAGCUCUUCUAAGCUUAUUCAAGGUAAGUCUUGAAACCAAUAUGGGAUGUGAAUAUUUUAACAAAUAUUUGGGUAACAAAUAGACUUUCAAGUCUAAUGACUAGGAAUAAUAGGAUCCCACAGUAUCAAAGCCACAUAGCAGCCUUUUACAGAACAAAUUUUGAGGGGGGCAGGAGUGCUGCACGUGCUUAAGAAGGAAACUGGAAGGGAAAAACCAGGGAGCAUAUGUUUCUCUGACAAUUGAGGAGCAGUUACAGUAUUGUUAAGCAUAAAUUGAGUUUGCAAUGUUUGUCCAUUAUUUUGUGCUAAUCGGGAGUGUAGAUUUAAUAUGAUAUAUAUAUCUUAUUAAAACAAAAACAUUGCCAUAAUCAUCAUUUCUUAUUUUAGCAUAAGGAAAUACAGUAGUUUCAUUGUGCAAUUAUAUUACUGGAAGCAAUUUAGAUGUCAUCUAAUUUCUCUAUAGAACUUAAUUAAUAUGUGUCUUAUAUACCAGGAAUAUUGUUGGAUCUUAUAAUUUCAUUUUCAAAACACAAAAACUUCAGACACAGAAGCCUCAAAUCCCUAAGCAGUUGCUAGCUCUGUGUUAGCAGUUUCAUAGAACUUUCCUUGUUUACAUUGAAAUGAUCACUUCUCACCUCACUGCCUCUGCUAUGACUGCAGUUCCCAGGAGCUCUGAACAUCAUAUUCUAAAACCUAUGAGUGUCAUUAGACAGGGCUCUAAGUAUUUCUUAUUCCAUUGUCUUUGUUGAUCCUGUGCCAUUUCCUUCAGUUCAAAAUCCUUUGUUCCGUAAGAAGACACUCAGGUCCAUGACUAAUAGAAGUGCACAGCCCUUUUAGCAUGGAGAAGGAUCCACAGCAGUACGGGGCAACUUGGUAUGACACCUUUGGAUGGGCAGCAGAGAAGAAAAACUUACACAAAAUGUACGCAGCUGGUAUGCAACCUUGAACAUAGCUGGUCAGAGGCUAAGAAUGAGGCAGCGAGGAUUCAGGUAGAUGUAGACUUGUGAUAUUGCGAUUAGGAUGAAAGGAAUCUGGCUUUUCCUGUGGAUUGCAAUCUUCUGUUUACUGCUUUGAGAUGCCCAGGGGAAGCAAUUGCCCUUUAGCUGCCAAUGUCCUGUAGCCGCAGAUUCCACUUCAUAACUGUUGACUCCAUUUCUGUGGCAUACCUGCAUCCCUGGCAGAUGCUGUUUGUAAAGCUGGACCUCUAGGGGAUGAUCAAUAAGCAGGUCAGUAGAGCGAUGGAUUAGAUGAGACGGUGUAGCAAGAGAGAACUGCUCUUCCCCGGGCAGCAGCAGCAGCACUCUCCUGCCAGUCAGAGCUUUGCUGCCAUGUGUGAUUUGCUGCCAUGUGUGACAAGUGGAGAAUUGGAUCCUCACUGAAUACAUUGAGGCAUUUUUCUUUCGUGUGUGUUGGGGCUGAACAAAAUACCUAAGGGCUACCAGGAAAGUGUCGCAUGUGGCAGCCAAAUUAAUUUUCUGUUUUCUAUGGCAUUUUCCAGUUGCAAAAAGAAACGAGAAAUAGUUGGCUACAAGUAUUUUCAGCUACCUCUAUUUGAUCUUCCAGAUUGAAACAGUUUAGCUGGGUGCUAGAAUAUCAGAGCAAAAUUAUCCUCACCAGUCACUGCUCUGAGACCAGCCACACUGGGCUUCAGCUUGCACUGGGAGUUCCAGUAAUACAUGUGAAGUGUUUUUCAAACCUGUGUUUAAACUCCUAGGAGAAAACACACUUCUCUCACUCUUGGACGGUGCUGUGUGGCCCUGAGCCUUCUGCUCUGCAUCUGUGAUUCAAGAGUGCUUUUGUCAGCUGACAGCUGUAAGCAGAAGAUGUCUGAUGCUGUGCUCUAAUGCACAGGUGUACAUUGGUUCUUUCAGAGCCCCUGGUUUAAACAGCUUUAAACAAUAUCAGAAUUAGGCCCUGAAUCUUAACUAAGGAUCCUUCAAAAUUUGUCACUUUUCUGUCUUAUACGCUUGAUUUUCUCAAAUAACCCUUAGCACGGAUUUAAUUAUUUGUGCUGUGGGUAUGCAUCAAGGUCUAGGACAGAAUGUCUGCUCUGGGCUCUGUGGGUCCACUCCCUUCUCCAGGACUUCCUGCUUGCUAUCAGAGUAGACAGAAGAUUGAGGGGGUUUAUAAAUCCAAUGAGUUAGAGUAUCUUGAGGACAGGGAAAAAUGAGUUAGUCAAAGUACUUUUACGUAAAGGAAUAAUAUUUUUGUCACCACUGUUAGAAGUGUCUACCACUUUUGAAGUACCAAAGUUCCAUAACUUACAGGAAAUGUACAAUUACAGUAAUCGUAUUUUCAUUCAAACCUUCCCAUUUAUUUUUUGAUUCUGUUUCUGCGCUCCUGUCUCCCCACUUGUAAGCAGGCAAGAGUGGUCCUGGGUGUGCUGUAGUGGUGAUGUUUAGCAGUCAGGCAUUGUCUGCUCCCAAGUGCUUUGCUCCUGAAGCCAGCUGUGGUUGCUAAGGGACAGCAACCUAAUUGACUCCGACUUUGGCUAAGCCAAGCAUUUAAAAGCAAGAGUGAAGUGCUAAGGACAAUGCAGCUCCCCUGCUGUCCACGUAGCAAACCAGAUUCGGUACUAAUGUGUUUUCUAGAGCAGACAGAGUUAUUUGUUUGCUGUUCUUCUCCAGUAAAUUAGAUGUUACUGAGUGUUCUAGAGAAUUACACUAAUUGCUAUGGUAAUCAUAAUAGGAAGCAAUUACUUUCAGCAAAUAAGUAUUUCACCUUCACAAAUUUGUUUGUGACCACACCUGGCCUCACUCCCAGCUUUAUAACAAAUGUUUUGCUGGAAACUAGAAAAGAACAGCUAUUGCUGUGUUCUUCCUUGGGGAGGGCUUGAGAUUCUGCCUGCUGGGGUCUUCCUUCUUGCCAAACCUCAAGGACAUAAACAGCUAUUUAAAAACCUCAUGAUUUUUGUAAACAGUCUGAUCAUAUUGACAGGGCUGUUUUAGGACUGCUUUUUAUUUGUAACUGGUAGAUCCAUGUAGGCAAAAAUGCAAAAUACCAGGACCUGGGAAAAGGCCUUAAUCCACGUGAAAACAUGACCAGCUUGGUUUCACAUGAGCUAAUCCACUGUGGUGCUGUUACAUUCCUGUCUAAGGACUUCUGUGAAGCCACUGAUGUCAAUAUAGAUUUAAGAUAAAAAAAUACAGGACAGAACUGUUUACAGUAUUAACAUACGAUUGUUAUUAUGCUAACUGAUCAAAUUCUGUGGCAUAAGAGUCCCAAAAUAGAACGCCUUAGAGAGAUAUUAAAUGACAUUUAAAGAUGAAAUUCUUUAAGUUAACAGCAUGCAUAAUAACUUUCCUGUGUUUUGUUUUUGCGGCAAGGCCUUUAUUUUACCCAAUACCACUUGAUAAACUGUUUUUUUAACCCAUCGUGUUUGACCUAGAUUGAAAAUUCUCUUUGAUAAACAACUACAGCAGUGUUUGACUAUUCACAGCAGUAUUCCUCAACAUUGCUAAUGUUCAUUAGAGCUGGCAGAAUGAGAAAUCACCACACUACUAAUUACUAAGGUGCUGUGCUGCUCAUAUAAGGUGGAAAACAUCUCAUCCUUGUCUGGUGCUAGGAAAGAUGGAUGGUGUUUUCUGCUCUGUUUGUGCUUUCCAGUGUGAGACCAGCACUGGAAAAUA